AGACUAACUUGAAGGUCCGGAAGUGCCGCCCCCGAGCGCUCCUGAUUGGCGGCCCGGCCGCGCCGCCCGCCGGGGAUAGGCUGCGGAUGCCGUCAGCGCCGGGGUUACAGACUGAUUAAGAAUGCUGGUGGUGUACUGUGUGCUACUAAAUGAGAACGUGUAAACGCCAGCAGUUUUUUUCCCUAUACAGUUUAGAACUGUUUCAGAGGUUUCAAAUACAUACAGUAGCUCAGGAAACUCAUGGGAAGCACUCUUCAGAAAGGCAGCGCCUCUUUAGGUUCUACUUUGUCACUUCUCUUGGAUGCUCAGUAGGAAUGAGGCUCCAUCAAGAUGAGCACAGUAUUAAAGGAAAGUACAAUCCAAAACUGAAUUGAGAAUAGAAAGAGUUCUUAACUCACACUGACUAAAGCUUUUGUUUCAGUAAUUACGUGAUCUUAGACUCUUCUGGAAGGAGUGAUGAGAUAUGGACGUAGUGUGUGACAGCAGUAUAGGGGCAGCCGAGGGGAAGCAACGUGGAGGAUAAUUAAGUUUGCAUCAAUCACAGUGUUGUGCCUGCAAUCCCCCAACACCCCCAGUCAAAAAAAAAAGCAAGUUUGCAGGUCUGCACGUACUCACUGUGGAAGCUAAAAAGCAGGAUACGUGAUGAUCUCUCCCAAGGUGUAUUUGUUGCAGAAUGAGGUUUUCCUGGUGCCCUGUGUGCACUUCACCAUCGAUCUCAAGCCAGACUGUUGCAUAGAACCACAAGGUAACAAUUGGAUGUCAUUCAAAAUAUUUUUUCAAGGACAUUUUUGACCUUAAGUAAGAGAGAGCCCUUCCAGACCUGUAAUAGAUGAAAGGCUCAUGUUUCUGGAAACCAAAA
ensembl:lncRNA